rnacentral:rRNA from 1 species
UACAGAGGUCCCAAGCGUUGUUCGGAUUCACUGGGCGUAAAGGGUGCGUAGGCGGCCGGGUAAGUUUGAUGUGAAAUCCCACAGCUUAACUGUGGAACUGCAUUGAAUACUAUCCGGCUUGAGGAAUGGAGGGGAGACUGGAAUUCUCGGUGUAGCAGUGAAAUGCGUAGAUAUCGAGAGGAACACCAGUGGCGAAGGCGAGUCUCUGGACAUUUCCUGACGCUGAGGCACGAAAGCCAGGGGAGCAAACGGG